rnacentral:siRNA from 1 species
AGGUCCUGUUUGUUUCUCCAUCCA